UCUGAAGUGAAAGCCCGGUGCUUAACGCCGGGACUGCUUUGGAAACUGUUUAGCUGGAGUGCCGGAGAGGUAAGCGGAAUUCCUAGUGUAGCGGUGAAAUGCGUAGAUAUUAGGAAGAACACCAGUGGCGAAGGCGGCUUACUGGACGGUAACUGACGUUGAGGCUCGAAAGCGUGGGGAGCAAACAGGAUUAGAUACCCUGGUAGUCCACGCCGUAAACGAUGAUUGCUAGGUGUAGGUGGGUAUGGACCCAUCGGUGCCGCAGCUAACGCAAUAAGCAAUCCACCUGGGGAGUACGUUCGCAAGAAUGCAACUCAAAUGAAUUGACGG
rnacentral:rRNA from 1 species